GACGAACGCUGGCGGCGUGCCUAAUACAUGCAAGUUGAGCGAUGAAGAUUGGUGCUUGCACCAAUUUGAAGAGCAGCGAACGGGUGAGUAACGCGUGGGGAAUCUGCCUUUGAGCGGGGGACAACAUUUGGAAACGAAUGCUAAUACCGCAUAACAACUUUAAGCAUAAGUUUUAAGUUUGAAAGAUGCAAUUGCAUCACUCAAAGAUGAUCCCGCGUUGUAUUAGCUAGUUGGUGAGGUAAAGGCUCACCAAGGCGAUGAUACAUAGCCGACCUGAGAGGGUGAUCGGCCACAUUGGGACUGAGACACGGCCCAAACUCCUACGGGGGGCAGCAGUAGGGAAUCUUCGGCAAUGGACGAAAGUCUGACCGAGCAACGCCGCGUGAGUGAAGAAGGUUUUCGGAUCGUAAAACUCUGUUGGUAGAGAAGAACGUUGGUGAGAGUGGAAAGCUCAUCAAGUGACGGUAACUACCCAGAAAGGGACGGCUAACUACGUG
rnacentral:rRNA from 1 species